rnacentral:rRNA from 1 species
AUUGAACGCUGGCGGCAUGCCUUACACAUGCAAGUCGAACGGUAACAGGUCUUUCGGGAUGCUGACGAGUGGCGAACGGGUGAGUAAUACAUCGGAACGUGCCUAGUAGUGGGGGAUAACUACUCGAAAGAGUGGCUAAUACCGCAUGAGAUCUAUGGAUGAAAGCAGGGGACCUUUGGGCCUUGUGCUACUAGAGCGGCCGAUGGCAGAUUAGGUAGUUGGUGGGAUAAAAGCUUACCAAGCCUACGAUCUGUAGCUGGUCUGAGAGGACGAUCAGCCACACUGGGACUGAGACACGGCCCAGACUCCUACGGGAGGUAGCAGUGGGGAAUUUUGGACAAUGGGCGCAAGCCUGAUCCAGCAAUGCCGCGUGCAGGAUGAAGGCCUUCGGGUUGUAAACUGCUUUUGUACGGAACGAAAAGUCUUGGGUUAAUACCCUGGGAUCAUGACGGUACCGUAAGAAUAAGCACCGGCUAACUACGUG